rnacentral:rRNA from 1 species
UGGGGAAUUUUGGACAAUGGGCGAAAGCCUGAUCCAGCAAUGCCGCGUGUGUGAAGAAGGCCUUCGGGUUGUAAAGCACUUUUGUCCGGAAAGAAAUCCUUGGCUCUAAUACAGUCGGGGGAUGACGGUACCGGAAGAAUAAGCACCGGCUAACUACGUGCCAGCAGCCGCGGUAAUACGUAGGGUGCAAGCGUUAAUCGGAAUUACUGGGCGUAAAGCGUGCGCAGGCGGUUUGCUAAGACCGAUGUGAAAUCCCCGGGCUCAACCUGGGAACUGCAUUGGUGACUGGCAGGCUAGAGUAUGGCAGAGGGGGGUAGAAUUCCACGUGUAGCAGUGAAAUGCGUAGAGAUGUGGAGGAAUACCGAUGGCGAAAGGCAGCCCCCUGGGCAAAUACUGACGCUCAUGCACGAAAGCGUGGGGAGCAAACAGGAUUAGAUACCCUGGUAGUCCACGCCCUAAACGAUGUCAACUAGUUGUUGGGGAUUCAUUCCUUAGUAACGUAGCUAACGCGUGAAGUUGACCGCC